GGGAUGGGCAUCCAGAUGGCCCCAGGAGGCUGGUUCUGGAUGGGUGGAACAGCAGCUCCGGAUGGGUUUCCCACGGGCUGUGCCUGGAAAGCAUAGGGCCCCGCUGCAGGCGUGCCUGAAAAGACAGGAGAGAUACAGUUAGGGAACUGAGGUCUUGAAAAAAGAAUUGUAUCGUGGAUCUUCAAAAGAAAAGAACAAAUCAACCGUUAUGAGCUAUGCAGAUUCCUCCCGCAGCGGGGAGCGCUCCGUCGUGCGGCGCCACGCCGCCAGGUGGCGCUGCAGCCCCGUGCUGGGAGAACGCUGACGUCGGUAAGCAGCUGCGGAACGGGAAGUGCGGGCUGCCGUCACUGCGGGCCGGGGAUAGUUCUGUAUUUUGCUCGGAAGCCCGCAGGAGCUUGCGAGGAGAAACCAGCAUGAAUACUUUCAUAGAAAGUGCGAAGACAGCUGUUUCCAGAGGUGCUGACUCAUAGACCUGGCGGUUACCCGUAGCACCAGUACCUCAUACUGCGUGUGUAAUAAAACACGGGCUGCUUUGCCUGAAAGGUGAUGCUGCGGCCAUAAACCAUGCAGCGCGUACAGGUGUGGCGUACAUCCCCUCAAUAUCAGCACUGCCCACCGCAGAUAAGGACCCACCCUCCUGCAGAGCUGACGGCUAUCACGCUGUGUUACCACCCGUGGUAUUCAGAUAAGACAGCCCCUCCCUGGCCUUUGGACCACGAGGAGCACGUGCUCAUUCCUUGAAGGCUGCGUACUCACAGAACUUGAAUUUCCUCGCUGAAAGACACGCAAGAUUUAACGUACACACAGCACAGAAACUUAAGCCAAACACUUUGCACUUCAUCAAUAAUUUAUGCCUGGAGCCCCAUAGGUACUGUUCAGUGUGAUCUGGCUCUUCAGCAAGCAGUUUGCCGCCAGAAUGAUAAGCUAUUUGUGGGUGCUGUGUUCUGAAUGGGGAACAGAAAACGAGAUUAAAAAGAAGAGGAAACAAAUGGAAAGUACGACCACAUGCAAAGUACAGCAACAGGAAAAGAAACAGAAACAGGAUCUACGCAGAUGGCAGAACCGUGAGAGGAGGACAGUCCUUCAGUUUUGGAUUACUACAGAAAAAUAAACUGAAGAACUGACGUAACAUUUAAGAACAAAUAAUCUGAUCAUCAGCAAGAAGCUGCCACACAUUGAUUGUGUUGCAUCUGUAACACUUCCCUAACAAACUCAACCCAGCGCCCACUGAGGAACACCUUGCAUUGCAGACUUCCUCCACUGCUGGCACUGCUCAGCACAUAUAAACAUGUAGCAACCGAGAAGGAAAGAGUCUGACUUUCCACCAGAACAGAUACUGACAGAAACGUUGCAGAAUUAAUACAGAAUUGUAAAUCAGAGGUGGCUGCCUUGAUGAAACCUCCUGCUUCCCAUGCACACCUCCUAACCAAACAACAGAUCUGUAGCCAGGCAACCUACCGUAGAAGUUCCCAGCUGCAUACUGCGGGUGGCCAUAGGGGGGCUGGUUUCCUGGUGCAUAGCCAGUAUUGGAGAAUUCAGGUCCUGGUGCCGGGUUAUUUGCUUGCAUUGCUGUGGAUCACUGCUGGAUCUGCUUGUAACCGUUCUUCAGAAGCACCCGGAGGAAAUCCUACGCGGCGAGCACACUCCCCAGCAGCGCCUGGAGACCGCUCCGCACUGCCGAAGCGCUCAGCGCGGCUCUUAGCCCAGCGCCGCGGGGCGGGCGCGGCCGGGAAGCGCCGCCGCCCCCGAGCACAGAGAGACCGGCGCGGCCGGGAAGGGGCACGGCCACGGGGGUGCUGAGCCCGGCGUGCGUCACGGCCCCGCCCGCGGCUCCCCCACGGAGCGGCCUCGGCCCGCUGCUGACCCGAGCUCGGCGCUGGUGGCGGAGCGCGAGGGCAAACACAAAAAGCCCUGGGUAUUUCUAGGCCUCGCAGGGCUCGAAAUUUAAAGCGGUACAGGCUCCCUCGGUGUAACUUCUGGAACUGAAGUCACGCAGGUGCUCUUUAAGGAGGUUUGGCUGUUCAGCUACUUGCUUCAAAUGCUAUUCAGCAAAACCAGCUGGCUUAGGGGAAAUAUUGCUCAAGAAGAAAGCAAAAUGAAGCUGUGCUUUUGAUUAGUCCGUAUACUGGAUGCACUGUUUCUGCACGUUUUCCUGAAGACUGAAAAAAGGCUGUGAGCAUCUUGAGUUGUUCUAACAGGAGCACAGCCAGUGGUUGGAGGGCAGCAAUUGCACUCCUAUACUUUGUAAUCCUAUGGUUCAAGGUGGAAUGCUGUGCCUGGCUAUGCCCCUGCCCUCCCUGUGCCGGAAGGACCUUGGCUUCUAACUUUGGACUCGGGUUAGGAGAGGGUUCCAGUACAGUCAAGGCUGCAGUGAGAAGAAGCAGACAACAUGGGGUUGCUUUUGCUUGGAGAAGAGGUGCCUGUGGGGAGACCUAAUAGCCACAUGCCCAUAUGUGUGGGGAAGACAUCAAGGUGAUCUAUGUCCCAGCCCUGGAGAUGCUCAAGGUUGGAUGGGCCCUGGGCAGCCUGAGCUGGUGGGUGGCAGUCAGCUCCCAGCAGGGCAUUGGAGCUGAGUGAUCUUUAAGGUCUUUUCCAAUCUAAACCAUUCUAUGAUUCUGUGAAAACACUGUUGAUUUAAGGAAGUGAUUGGCUUGCCUUUGGUUCAUUCCAGUGUGUGAUAGGGAACACGUUAAUGCUUACUGGUAUGAUGGUCCCAGUUGGAGAAAUACAGACAGCACAGAGGAUCCACGCUGCUUGGAGAAAUGCUGUUCUUAAGUCUGAGCAGGUUGAGAGUACUGGAAAGUUUCCUAUAAUUUUUAAAGCUGUCCCAAAUUAUUGUGCUUUCCAUGUAGGCCCUGGGGAGCCGCUCACCAUCCUUAAUCCAUGAGCAGCCCAUUGGUGACGGAGAAGAGGGAAGCUCAAAAAAGAGAACCAGGGAGCUGCUGGUGGUCUGUCAGAUAAGAGCAGCUGUAGUCUGGGGCCCAAAGGCUUGCCAUGCCUAUAUUUAAAUAAAUAAAUAAAUGAAAAGAAGAGACAAGGAAGAAGACAGUUACAUUACAGUUAUGUUUCUUCAAAAUUAGUUAGUGGAUGAUCUAGACAGGAAAGCGUUAAAUACUUCCUUACAGCUCAGCUACUUUUAUGGAAACUGCUUUGUUACAAAACUGUUGUAUGUUCCACAUGUUUACAGGUUAAAGAUUACCCACAGAUGCAGUUAACAUCAAUGUCACCUAGAUAAGCCAGGGAUGUAUUUUAUUGAAAGGCCUGGUUUUAUAAGGAUCAUUUUACAUAGGUCACUCAAAGUAUUUCUUUCUGCGAAAACUAUAAGAGAUACAAAAAGCACUAUUUGACAGAGCAAGAUCUCAGCUUCGAAACACUGUUUUUCAACACCAUCAGCUGUGCAUUUUCACCAGCAACAAACAAGAGCCUGCAUGCAGCACACAUACAUAUUUCCAUCUCUAGGCUGCUACAAUCUUUUUCUUUCAUUAUACAUUCCUACUUCAGAAGGCUUAGGAGUACUUUCAGACAAGUAGUAAUAGAAAGUAAUCCUGUUUGAUAAAUCGAACAAAGCUAGAAAUAAAAAAUGCAUUUACACAAGAAGGAAAAAGAUAUUCUGCACCUUUAUUGUUAAGGAUUGGCUACCUAAUUCUUAAAUCUGAUUCAUC
rnacentral:lncRNA from 1 species